CGGCGAGUGAAGCGGCAACAGCUCAAAUUUGAAAGCUGGCCUUCGGGUCCGCAUUGUAAUUUGUAGAGGAUGCUUUGGGUGAAACGCCAGUCUAAGUUCCUUGGAACAGGACGUCAUAGAGGGUGAGAAUCCCGUAUGUGACUGGAAAUGUUAACCUAUGUAAAGCUCCUUCGACGAGUCGAGUUGUUUGGGAAUGCAGCUCUAAAUGGGAGGUAAAUUUCUUCUAAAGCUAAAUAUUGGCGAGAGACCGAUAGCGCACAAGUAGAGUGAUCGAAAGAUGAAAAGCACUUUGGAAAGAGAGUUAAAAAGCACGUGAAAUUGUUGAAAGGGAAGCGCUUGCAAUCAGACUUGUUUAAACUGUUCGGCCGGUCUUCUGACCGGUUUACUCAGUUUGGACAGGCCAGCAUCAGUUUCGGCGGCCGGAUAAAGGCUCUGGGAAUGUGGCCUUCACUUCGGUGAAGGUGUUAUAGCCCAGGGUGUAAUACGGCCAGCCGGGACUGAGGUCCGCGCUUCGGCUAGGAUGCUGGCGUAAUGGUUGUAAGCGACCCGUCUUGAACACCGGACCAAAA
rnacentral:rRNA from 1 species